rnacentral:misc_RNA from 1 species
CACACGACACGUAAAAAACAGCGGCCAACGAGCGUUUUUAUCUGUACACGCGUAGUCGACCCAUUAUUUCCCGUCAACCGUUUUCGCUUCCGAUCAACUUGUUCUGCUCGGCUACCAGUAGUGCGUUCCCGUAAGGUACACGCGGUACUGUAACACUUUUAUUUUUCACCUUUAAGUACCUUUUCAUUCCGUCACUUCCGAACUUCGAUCGAACUGGUCGGACCUAACCGAUAGGCUCAGAACUCACCCGUGGUCUUGGCCGAGACACUUCUUCGCCUCCGCUACACACACUUGUCUAUUGAUUUCGGCGCACUUUUUGUUUAUUUUUUAUUCUUGUUUCUUCGUUAUUCGAGAGAGAUUAAGAGAAAGAGAGAGAGAGAGAGAGAGAGAGAGAGAGAGAGCACGAUCGACUAUACGUUGGUACGAUUCGAUCGCGUCCGUCGCUCGGCGUUCUCUUCGGCCAGGACCACCGUCCCAAUGUUCCGCGUUUCCUGCACCACAGACUGGCGAUAUUUCCACGUCUGUUUGUGCCGGGAUCGUACCAUCGCCUGCGUAUUUUUUCUUGUACAAUAACGAAAUCGAACAAACGUGAACCGCACGUCGUGAGCAGCCCGCCGACACGUUGGACAGAAGUCGAAUGCGGUUCGUUAACCGUACGCCAGUUUGUAUGUUUAGUCACUUUUUGGACGAUUCCAAUCGUUUGGUACCGUGGAUCUUAGUUGUGCGACGAGAAAACGAAAUCUGCAAAUAUUGUUCUUUUUAUUGUUCAACAAUACAAAUGACUUCACAGGAUACUGCCGCACAAAAACCACCGGUGAUCUUGGAUCUCCGGACCUCAGAUUUGUCAUUUCACGCACGUUCGUUUUCAGUCUCCUAUGUUCGACUAAAAAUCAAAUCGAUAACCUGUCUACAAAGAUAUUUCACCAUCGAUAAUCUCUCAUCGAUUGGAAAGAAAAUCAUGCGCCCAAUUUAUUCGAUGUUUUAUUUCAUUUUAUUUGUUCACAAGACAACUAUAGGGAACUGUCAGUUAAUUAUACAACGUCAACAGAAGUUCUAAACAUAAAAGAACUAGAUAUCUAAUUUAUUAAAUCAUUUUCAUUUUCAAUACUAAUCAUAAUGGUCGUACUUAGAAAUGUCUCGGGUAUUCGGAAAUUACUCGAUAUCCAGGUACUCGAUGGAAUAAUUAAGAUUUGGGCCUUACCCGGUACCCUGCGUAAAACUGAAUUUUUACUCGACUAACACUCGAUACCCGUUUAUAAUCAAUUUUCUACUCGGAAAUUCUCUAGCUGUACCGUAUAUCCAAGGUUUGAAGGUUAAAAUCAUGUGAUCGUACGCUUGUGUUUGAUCAUUAUGUUUUCACUUAUUGUUUUGAACCAGUCACUAUAUUAUUUUAAAAGGGAUUAAGUUCAAUUUAUGAACAGAUUUUAAUUUAAACUAGCAAACAAAAAACUAUAGUUGGACGUUCUAAAAUCGUUAUCCGCAGAACAUUUACAUUCAUCGUUAUCAAUAUUAUUAUUAAAUCUUUCCCAUAACAACGACUCAGAACCGUUAUCGCAUUCUUACCGUACAAUGAAUCUGAAAACUUUAGAACCCAAAUCGUUCACGGUCGUUACACAUCGCCACACAUGUAUUAUAACGUUGAAGGAUUACAAUACCUAACAGUAUCAAUUGAAUCACCGUCGGACGUUAUCGUACGUUAUGAUCACAACUAAGUUUGUAAAAUUAUUAUUUAUGCACCUUACGCGCUCACAUCACACGCGGCCCACAAAUAUUUAUUAGAAGUAGUUUUUGUAUUAUUUUUAACUAAAUUGUAAAGUUUAACGUUAUUAUAAAUUGUAUUGACCUCAAAUAUAUUACGAUUUUGGUACCUA